UGCAGCUAUCUGAUCUCCAUUUUAGUGUCCACCACCCUGAUAGAGCUCUUGACUUCAAGAAAAUUGUAGGUCCUGCUCUUCAAAUGAUUAACCCUUCUCUCGUCCUCAUCACUGGUGAUCUCACAGAUGGGAAAAGCAAGGACUUGUUAGUAAUGAAACAAAACGAAGAUGAGUGGCUAGAAUACCAACAUAUAAUUGAAGAUGUUGUGAAAAGAAGUGGACUUGAUAAGAACAUCUUCUAUGAUCUCAGAGGAAAUCAUGAUAUUUUUGGAGUACCCGUUGUUGGUGGUUCAUUUGAUUUCUUUUCGAAAUACAGCAUUAAUGGGCAGUUAGCAAGAAGGGGAAACGUCAACAGUGUUACCCUUGAGAAAUUUUUUCAGUUAAAU
rnacentral:misc_RNA from 1 species